rnacentral:rRNA from 1 species
CCCUUAGAUGUUCUGGGCUGCACGCGCGCUACACUGAUGCGUUCAACGAGUGUAUAACCUUGUCCGAUAGGAUUGGGUAAUCUUUUGAACACGCAUCGUGAUGGGGAUAGAUUAUUGCAAUUAUUAAUCUUCAACGAGGAAUUCCUAGUAAUGAUGAAUCAUCAGUUCAUCGUGAUUACGUCCCUGCCCUUUGUACACACCGCCCGUCGCUCCUACCGAUGAGCAAUCCGGUGAAUAAUUUGGACUGGCUGAUUUUGGGGUUCGCUCCUUGGUCGGCUGGAAAAUCUAGUGAACCUUAUUGCUUAGAGGAAGGAGAAGUCGUAACA